AUUUUAUACGCUACAACCGUAGUGUUUCAUACCCACUAUGAUUUUUCGCUGCUGGAAAUAUCAGAGAAAAGAAAUUCUCGCUCUUAUCCUUCCAGCAUGUGGUAUUGAAUCUGAUUCUGCUAAUUGGGUUCAUUGCUUUCUCAAUGAACAACGAGGAGGAGAGAGAAGGGAAGGCAUGCUGCAUGUCCUAUAAAUUCUUCUGACAAUGAGAAGCAGAAGCAAGAAGUGAAGCAAGAGCUACUAGCUAGUGCUUUGUUUCUCUGCUUGUCCAGUCAAAGAAGGGAAGGUGAAAUGGCAUCCCUGAAGGCUGAGAAACCAGCAGCACCCCAAGCAGCGCCUGGACAGGCCAAGCCCAAAGCCACUGAAGGCUCGAAGUCUCAGUCCUCAAAACCUGCUGCCAAGAAAUCAGAGCAGAAACCUCGAGAGCCAAAGAGGAAGGCAAGAGGUGGAAAAGCAGCAUCCAAGAAUUGAAAGUAGUGCCUUCUCAUAGGCUCAAGGUUGGCUACGAUCCAUGCUUUAGCCAUGUAGCUGACAUUGAUCAGCUUAUAAAAUAAUUUAAGGGUGUUUUGAUUUCCAUGUUCUAGAUAUUAUCAGUUCAAUAUAAUUUAGCUUCCUUCUACA